ACCUCAAGUCAAGUGAGAAUACCCGCUGAACUUAAGCAUAUCAAUAAGCGGAGGAAAAGAAACUAACAAGGAUUCCCUCAGUAACGGCGAGUGAACCGGGAAAAGCUCAAAUUUAAAAUCGCUUGGGUUUACCUGAGUGAGUUGUAAUUUGAAGAAAGUGUUUCGACUUUUCGGGUUUGAUCCAAAUCCUUUGGGAUGAGGUAUCAUAGAGGGUGAGAAUCCCGUUCAUGAUUAAACCUGAGUUGUCAAUGAUUCAUUCUCUAAGAGUCGAGUUGUUUGGGAUUGCAGCUCAAAAUGGGUGGUAAAUUUCACCUAAGGCUAAAUAUCUGCGAGAGACCGAUAGCGAACAAGUACCGUGAGGGAAAGAUGAAAAGAACUUUGAAAAGAGAGUUAAAAAGUACGUGAAAUUGUUGAAAGGGAAACGAUUGAAGUCAGUCAUGCUAGCGAGGAAUCAACUUGGUGGUGUGAGUCUCUCAUCUCCUCCGUGUGCACUUCCUCGUCUGGCAGGUUAGCAUCAAUUUUGAUUGUCAUCAAAUAAUUGGGGUAAUGUGGCUUCGCUUCGGUGGAGUGUUAUAGACCCUGGUGGAUGUGGCGAUUGGGAUUGAGGAUUGCAGCGGAUGCCUCUUGGCUAGUCACCUGGCUUCUGGCGGUCACCUCGCUUUUGACAGCUUGCUGAUGAUCGUGGGACCCGACAGUCUAGAAGUUAGAGUGAUCUUAAAUUCGCUAAGGAUGCUGACGUAAUGGCUUUAAACGACCCGUCUUGAAACACGGACCA
rnacentral:rRNA from 1 species